UAACGCGUGAGUAACCUGCCUCUAAGAGGGGAAUAACAUUCCGAAAAGAAUGCUAAUACCGCAUAACAUAUAUUUAUCGCAUGGUAGAUAUAUCAAAGAUUUAUCGCCUAGAGAUGGACUCGUGUCCGAUUAGUUAGUUGGUGGGGUAACGGCUCACCAAGACUGCGAUCGGUAGCCGGACUGAGAGGUUGAACGGCCACAUUGGGACUGAGACACGGCCCAG
rnacentral:rRNA from 1 species